GUGUUGUAUGAAAGGAGAGAAGGUUAGCACUCCCCUUGACAAGGAUA
ensembl:snRNA